rnacentral:tRNA from 1 species
GUCGGGGUAGAGCAGCCCGGUAGCUCAUCUGGCUCAUAACCAGAAGGUCGUCGGUUCGAAUCCGAUCCCCGCA